rnacentral:rRNA from 1 species
GACGAACGCUGGCGGCGUGCCUAAUACAUGCAAGUCGAACGAGAGCGACCGGUGCUUGCACUGGUCAAUCUAGUGGCGAACGGGUGAGUAACACGUGGGUAACCUGCCCAUCAGAGGGGGAUAACAUCCGGAAACGGAUGCUAAAACCGCAUAGGUCUUCGAACCGCAUGGUUUGAAGAGGAAAAGAGGCGCAAGCUUCUGCUGAUGGAUGGACCCGCGGUGCAUUAGCUAGUUGGUGAGGUAACGACUCACCAAGGCCGUGAUGCAUAGCCGACCUGAGAGGGUGAUCGGCCACAUUGGGACUGAGACACGGCCCAAACUCCUACGGGAGGCGGCAGUAGGGAAUCUUCCGCAAUGGACGCAAGUCUGACGGAGCAACGCCGCGUGAGUGAAGAAGGUUUUCGGAUCGUAAAACUCUGUUGUUAGAGAAGAACAAGUGCUAGAGUAACUGUUAGCGCCUUGACGGUAUCUAACCAGAAAGCCACGGCUAACUACGUG